rnacentral:rRNA from 1 species
UACAGAGGUCUCAAGCGUUGUUCGGAUUCAUUGGGCGUAAAGGGUGCGUAGGUGGCGCGGUAAGUCGGGUGUGAAAUCUCGGAGCUUAACUCCGAAAUUGCAUUCGAUACUGCCGUGCUUGAGGACUGGAGAGGAGACUGGAAUUCAUGGUGUAGCAGUGAAAUGCGUAGAGAUCGUAAGGAAGACCAGUGGCGAAGGCGGGUCUCUGGACAGUUCCUGACACUGAGGCACGAAGGCCAGGGGAGCAAACGGG